rnacentral:rRNA from 1 species
UACGAAGGGGGCUAGCGUUGCUCGGAAUUACUGGGCGUAAAGGGCGCGUAGGCGGAUGUUUAAGUCGGGGGUGAAAGCCCAGGGCUCAACCCUGGAAUUGCCUUCGAUACUGGACAUCUUGAGUACGGGAGAGGUGAGUGGAACUCCGAGUGUAGAGGUGAAAUUCGUAGAUAUUCGGAAGAACACCAGUGGCGAAGGCGACUCACUGGCCCGUUACUGACGCUGAUGCGCGAAAGCGUGGGGAGCAAAC